GUGCAGUUCGUGCUGAAAUUGCAACUAGAUACAACAUGCCUUCUCCCUGCGAACCGUGCAAAGAUACCUGCAAAGGUGGGGCUUGUGGAGACAACUGUGCAUGCAAAGACAAGGGCUGCGACGAUUGCACAUCAAAAGGUGGUUGCUGCUAACAUAAGUUGACAAUGGACAGUGACAGAAGGAGUCGUCGUCCCUCACUCUUCAGCCGCACCAGUCGCUUCCUGGAGACAUGCUUCCCCAUUACUUUCUCUAUAGUCUUCUUUAUCACGCUCGUAUUCUUCUACUGUCUCAUAUAAAUGUUAUGUUUUAGUUA